rnacentral:pre_miRNA from 1 species
UAUUUAGGAAGGCACUAUUCAUAAUUAUUAUAUUAUGAAGUGCAUCUUCCUGAAUAGA